ACCAUGCACGCAGUGGCGCAUGCCUAGUAGUCCCAGCUACUCGGGAGUCUGGGGCAGGAGGAUUGCUUUAGCCCAGGAGCACUGGGCUGCAGUGCGCUGUGCCAAUGGGGUGUCUACACUAAGUUCAGUAUCAAUAUGGUGACCACCUCGGAGCAAGGGGACCACCUAAGGAGGGGUGAGCCGGCCCAAGUCUGAACCAGAGCAAGUCAAACUCCUGUGCUGACCAGUAGUGAGAUCGAGCCUGUGACUAGCCACUGCACUCCAGCCUGGGAAACAUAGUGAGACCUCUCUCUA
ensembl:misc_RNA Metazoa_SRP Metazoan signal recognition particle RNA